GAUUUCAAAUGGAAAAGUCAUAAACAGCAAAGUUUUACAACUCAUCAAGAUCUACUACUUUUUUUUUGGUCAGUUUUUCAUCUGAGAAAGUGGUAGUAAUAUUGUUCAUAAAAAUCACAUUUCUCUCAUCUGGUUUAUAAACAUCAACACCGAAAUGUCAAUUUUGUAAGCAGUGUUACUAUCACUUUGUCGGAUAAAGAAGUGACCUAAAUAAAAGUUGUAGAUCUUGAUAAGCUCUACAACUUUAUUAGUUAUGAAUUUUUCAUUUGAAAUC
rnacentral:pre_miRNA from 1 species